rnacentral:miRNA from 1 species
CUCUCUCUCUCUCUCUCUCUCUCUCUCUCCCUCUCAGAGUCAGUUAUAUAUAUAUAUAUAUAUAUAUAUAUAUAUAUAUAGAGAGAGAGAGAGAGAGAGAGAGAGAAAGAAAGAG